rnacentral:snoRNA from 2 species
UUUGUUGACGAUGAGGAUACAAAGCUCCCUCUUCUGAUUUUCAGGUGAGGACAAUUGCAGGCAGAAUCGAACCUAAACAAAUCUAGCCACCACUGAGUCA